rnacentral:rRNA from 1 species
UACGGGGGAUGCGAGCGUUAUCCGGAUUUAUUGGGUUUAAAGGGUGCGCAGGCGGCCUGUUAAGUCAGCGGUAAAAGCCCGGGGCUCAACCCCGGCGAGCCGUUGAAACUGUCGGACUAGAGACGGCGAGAAGUACGCGGAAUGCGCGGUGUAGCGGUGAAAUGCAUAGAUAUCACGCAGAACUCCGAUCGCGAAGGCAGCCUACCGGCGCGCUACUGACGCUCAUGCACGAAAGCGUGGGUAUCGAACAGG